rnacentral:piRNA from 1 species
UGGCAUAAUUAACCCUAAUGUCUUGCCAAGU